rnacentral:rRNA from 1 species
UGCCAGUAGUCAUAUGCUUGUCUCAAAGAUUAAGCCAUGCAUGUCUAAGUAUAAACAUCUUUAUACCGUGAAACUGCGAACGGCUCAUUAAAUCAGUGAUUAUUUAUUUGAUGGUACAUUUCACUACAUGGAUAACUGUAGUAAUUCUAGAGCUAAUACAUGCGUAUGGGCCCGACUCGCUCGAGAAGGGCUGUAUUUAUUAGAUCCAAAACCAAUGGCCAGGGCAACCUGGUUGUGUGGUGAAUCAUAGUAACUGAUCGAAUCGCAUGGCCAUCUGGCUGGCGAUAGUUCAUUCAAAUUUCUGCCCUAUCAGCUUUCGAUGGUAGUGUAGUGGACUACCAUGGCUUUAACGGGUGACGGAGAAUUAGGGUUCGAUUCCGGAGAGGGAGCCUGAGAAACGGCUACCACAUCCAAGGAAGGCAGCAGGCGCGCAAAUUACCCAAUCCUAACACAGGGAGGUAGUGACAAGAAAUAACAAUACCGGGCCUUUCCAGGUCUGGUAAUUGGAAUGAGUACAAUUUAAAUCCCUUAACGAGGAUCCAUUGGAGGACAAGUCUGGU